UCAUAACUUGCAGAUGAUUGUUGACGCAUCAACCAGGAUUAAGGGGAAGGGCAACUUGGGACUGUUGUUGAUUUCAUAAUCAGUGGCUGUAUAGGAGAGUGAGUGUUUUUUCCUCUCAUAGGCAAUCAGCAAUUAGUACAGGGAGGUGUGCACUUUACCUCUGCUAGGCAAUUAACAAUUAGUGUUAGUACUUCAGUCUCACAUGGUUCCUCAGCAGCCGCUGUAAGCAGCGGUCAUGCCAGUAGCAGUCAUGUCUGUGAAACUAAGACCGUCGCUGAAACAAAGACUGCUCUCCUAAGUUCUGCAGAGUUCAUAGAGAAAGGCUCCACACCACUCACUUGAGCAUUACAGACGGUCCCCACCCCUUGGCUGCAACCCUUCUAAUUUGGUGUACUCUGUGCGCACAACCCAUGUGGAAUCCGGGUCUCUGGAAGUGUUUGGAACUGCCGAUCUGCAGUCAAGAAAGCCAAAUUCAUUUCAGCCUAUGCUGCUCUUCAGCCCCUUGACUUUUGGGCCCUGACAGAGACAUGGAUCACCCCAGAGAACACUGCUGCUCUCUUCAUCUGAUGAUUGUCGAGGUGGUACAGGUGCCCUUGGAGAGUUUCUCAAUGAGCUUGAUACCUUGAAGAUAAUUUCCUGAUGACGGUUCACUGCUUUUCGUACUGGACCUAUCCACUGCCUUCGACACCGGGAACCAUCAGAUCCUCCUCUCCACCCUCUCAGGGCUGGGUGUCUCAGGUUCUGUACUUUCUUGGCUCACAUCCUACUUGGCAGGCCGCUCCUACCAGGUGACAUGGAGAGAAUCUGUGUUUGCACCACAGACACCACUACUGGUGUCCCCCAGGGCUUGGUUCUAGGUGCUCUCCUCUUCUCUCUAUACACCAAGUGACUUGACUCUGUCAUAUCCUCACAUUGUCUCGCCUAUCAUUGCUAUGCGGAUGACAACUAUUUUUCUCCUACCCCCUCCCCCUGACACCAAGAUGGCGACACGCAUCUCUGCGUGCGUGGCAGAUAUCUCGGCUUGAUGUUGGCCACCAUAACCUUGCCGUGACACUGGACAACACCCUGUUCUCUGCAAACAUCAAUGCGGUGACUCGCUCCUGCAGGCUUAUGCUCUACAACAUCUGCAGAGUAUGACCCUAGCUCACACAAGUCCUAAUCCAGUUCUGUCAGGACUGACCAAGAGAAUCCAAAUAGGUCGGAUCAGGUUUGCAAUGACUGACUUCAAUUAGACCCCCUUUCACCCGUAGAGGGGGGUAGGAUAGAACUAGUGGGGUUUGACACUCACAUCCUGUUGUAAAUCAAGGGAGAAGAUCCAAAAUUCACCAAAGGAAUGUGCUUUGUCUCAAAAUACUUUUUUCCAGCUGAAAUUCUAACAAAUUCAAAAUGGAAUAUUGGAACAAUAUUUAGAAUGUUGGAAAUGGUCAGAGGUGCUCUAUAGAACACUCAUUUUGUUUUAUUUUGUGAUGUCAUUAAAGGUAUUGUCACAUCUACUCCCGUUCCACGGCACUCGACGUUGCCGGUUUACUAAUCACUGGCUCUGACAAGCAUUAUGAGACUCACCUGGACUCCAUCACAUCACUAAUUACCUCCCCAUAUAUCUGUCACUCCCCAGGCAGUAUUGACUGUGUUUUGUCUAGAUGCUACUCUUGUCUUGUUUGUUCAUUAUAUUAUUAAACUCACCACA